rnacentral:lncRNA from 10 species
AAACAGGACACAAUUGGAGAAACUGGUUAUUUUACCAAGGCUUUGACUGGAAUGGUGCACUUUCCUUUAAGGAUCAAACAUGACUUAUGGAGCCAAUUAAAUCCCCUUGGGAAAACUGGCCUCAUUGCUUGUCUACACAGUUCCUGUCCAGGGUUCCUGACUUACGGUAAGUAACAAAUGUCACUUUCUGGGAGGCCCAGGAGCCCCAAGUUUAUCUCAGAACCUCAAAAGGAGAGGAAUUCACCCAACUCAUAGGUAUUCGAUGGUACAAAUCCAUGGCUGGGCUUGGCUUUAUAAAAGUCUUAUCUGAGAUUCCUUUUAUGGAACAAAGUUCCAUCAAAGCCAACUUAAAAGCUUGUGUAAAAAAUAUUAUUCUUGCUAUACUAUAUACAAAUAAGCAGGCCAAGUAUAACAAAGCAAAUCAGUCUUACCAUGUUCUGUCUUUAAUAAAAAUGGGAAACUCGAGAAAGAAAAAUUUUGUUUCGAAAACUAAAUUUAGAUUCUAGUCUUACCUAAUGUUUUUCAAUUUUUAUUAUUUUCUAGAGGUGGGACUGAAUUCUAAUUUUUAUUAUUUUCUAAAGGUGGGACUGAAUUCUAAUUUUUCUUGGCUACAAGUCUUCAAAAUAAUGUUUUCAAUUUUUUUCCUUCCCCCUGCCAUUUUUCCUAUCUGGAGUCACUGAAAACUAAGCUGUGUUUUCAUAAAGCCCUGUGAACUGAAGCCAGACAACUUAAACUUCAGAAGAAAGUAACAGCAACCUAUUUACAUACAUAAGCCAGUCUCAUACCUGCCUACUGAUGUAUGGACUUCAGAGUAAUGUGGCCUACACCAAUAUUUCAGGAUUGUUCUUUUGUUUGUUGUUGUUUUUCUCCCUUCCUCUCCCUAUUUUCUCUUCACAGGAUGUGAGACUUCACAACCUGCUAAAAAUGAACUUUCCUAAUAACUCGGGACCUACCCAUCUAGGAAUAAACCAUCCUAUUCAUGACAGUGCCUGUGAAAGAUAAAGGAGAAAGAAUCAGGGUUGGAGAACUGGAAAAGUCUUGGCCAACCAAAUAGGCAACCCUGCAGCAAAGAUUGCCCAUUAGAAGAGUCAAAUGCUAGGAAGAAAUUGCAAACCCUACUAUUCUCACUGUGCUCAAACUUCGACUAGGAACUUCCACAAAGAGUGUGGCCUUGGCUUGAACAUUGCAGCAGCAGAUUAUGUAGGUGCUGAACUUGGAGUUUUGCACUUCUCACAGCUGACAGCAAAUUCUUUCUUCAAGGGAGACCUGAGCAGUCCUCCAUAUCUGCCAAAUUACUGCAUAGGAACAAAAAGGAGCCCUCCAUUCAUCUAAGAAGCAAAAUGAACUAGCAGAGAGAGCUUUGGCAUCAGGCAAAUCUGAUUGUAAAUACUUCUAGCAUAUAGUUGCUCUUACAUUGAGUUGGAUUGCUGGAUCAGGAAAUAUUAAUAUUUUAAAGACAUUUAUUACCAAACCAGUAUCAAAAAUAUCACUUUGGUUGACCAUGAUACCAGCAAUGGAUACAUGUAUAUGUUUCCCUGAAAUGCUAUGAAUACUGUUUUUCUGAGGCAUGAAGAGUGAUAAAAUAGUAUCACAGUUCCAGCAAUCACACCUACCAUCAAAGCAGGAAAAGAAGAAAAGCAUAAAGCAAGAGGUUUCACUUGAAUUUUGUCAAGAAAACAAAGACUCGUCCAAAAUUUUCUUUACAUCCUGUUGGUCAAAAAUAGUUUGAACUGGCAGCUCUAACUGCACGAAAGGUUGGAAGUAGUUUAAGAGUGACCACAAUUGAGAAAAAGAACAAGGAACUGGGCAAAGUUCAGAGAUGAGCAAAAGCACUAGUUUUCAUGAAGAGUUACACACAGAAUUAAUUAUGGCCUUUUAUGAAUCAAUAAUAUGCUUGCCUAUGUUCAAUCAGGAUCACAUGAUGACUGUGCUACCUCCAUCCGUCACAUCUUUAUUCAAUCAGGAAAAGAGAGAAGAGAGGUCAUAGCAACCAUGUCUAUCCAUCUUAGUAACAAUUUAGUUUUCUGGCCUGGCGCGGUGGCUCAGGCCUGUAAUCCCAGAACUUUGGGAGGCCGAGGCGGGUGGAUCACCUGAGAUCAGGAGUUCGAGACCAGCCUGAUCAACAUGGUGAAACCCCUGUCUCUACUAAAAAUACAAAAAUUAGCCAGGCAUGGUGGCGCAUGCCUGUAAUCCCAGCUACUUGGGAGGCUGAGGUAGGAAAUCACUUGAACCCAGGAGGCAGAGGUUGCAGUGAGCUGAGACUGUGACACUGCACUCCAGCGGGGGCAAAAAGAGCAAAACUUCAUCUCAAAAAAAGAAUUUAGUUUUCUGGAGGCUACUCUCACAGACUUAUGCUUAGCAUCUGUUAUAAGGUGAAUUGUGUCCUCUUAAAAGUAACAGGUUAAAACCCUAACCCCCAGUACCUCAGAAUGUAACUCUAUUUGAAGAUAGAGGCAAUAAAGAGGUAAUUAUGGUUAAAUAAAGUCAUCUGGGUGGGCCUUCAUUCAAUCUGAGCUGUAUUCUUUAAAAAGAGGGAAAUUUGGACACGUACACAAGACACCAGAGAUAUUCACACACAGAGGAAAGACUAUGAGGGGAUGCAGGUAGAAGGCAGCCUUCUGCAAGUUAAGGAGAGAGACUUCAAAAUAAAACAAAAUAAAACCAACUCUACUGACACCUUGAUUUUGGACGUCCAGCCUCCAGAACUAUGAGAAAAUAAAUUUCUGUCAUUUAAGC